rnacentral:rRNA from 1 species
UGGGGAAUCUUGCGCAAUGCGCGAAAGCGUGACGCAGCAACGCCGCGUGCGGGAAGACGGCCUUCGGGUUGUAAACCGCUUUCAGUUGGGACGAAGCUCUGCCGGUGAACAGCCGGUUGGAGUGACGGUACCUUCAGAAGAAGCCCCGGCUAACUACGUGCCAGCAGCCGCGGUAAUACGUAGGGGGCUAGCGUUGUCCGGAAUCAUUGGGCGUAAAGCGCGUGUAGGCGGCCCGGUAAGUCCGCUGUGAAAGUCCAGGGCUCAACCCUGGGAUGCCGGUGGAUACUGUCGGGCUCGAGUCCGGAAGAGGCGAGUGGAAUUCCUGGUGUAGCGGUGAAAUGCGCAGAUAUCAGGAGGAACACCAAUGGCGAAGGCAGCUCGCUGGGACGUGACUGACGCUGAGACGCGAAAGCGUGGGGAGCAAACAGGAUUAGAUACCCUGGUAGUCCACGCCGUAAACGAU